AUUAUUAUUUUCGAGUUUUAUUUUGUUUGAUGCAAUAAUCAACGAAUAUGUAACGACUCGAUCCGCUAACAAUAAUAAUACGUUUAACCAAAACCAUCGGUCCAAAAUGCUUAACCCUAGUUAUUAUUACUAACGUGUAGGUCUCAUAUACUCUAAUCAGAAUUAUUUUUCCACCUGAUGUGGGACUAUUGGGAUGUUAUAAANAGCAUAUUUUACUUUAUCAAUAUGUGGUUUAAAAUAUUUUACUUUAUUAUUCUGCAGUUUAUUUUAUUUCACUGCAAGAAUAUGCCGGAGGGCCAAAAAUGCAUAAUAUAUUUAUUUAAAAGAUAUUUUUAUGAAGCAAAUUAUAACAAAAAUUGGAUAUAUAAGGCAUAAGCUUUUUACAAAAAUAUUUCACUUUGGCCCUUGGGAUUUGCAACAUUUUAAUAUUUGCUACACCAUUAAUAGGGACCUUUAUGUAAUUUUUAAAAAGUCGAAGGGGGUCACGGCUACGAUGGGAUCAAUAGCUCCCUCCCUAAGUAUAGUAAUACAUUUUACAAUUCACAUUAUAUAAUAGAAAUAAAAUUAUAAAAUAACAAAGUAUAAUUUUUUAAACCACAGAGGACCAAAGUAAAGCAAAACUAAAAUAUUUAGUAAAGAGUUUGGGCACUGAACCCCAAUAUCAGAAUAGUACAGGGACUAUCUAUACAUUCUAUCCAUCUUAAUGAAAAACAAUUUUUAUUUUUAUUUUUAUUUUUAUUUAUUUAAUAUUUAUUUAUUUUUGGGCAUGCAGAGUCAUUUUGAUAAAGAGAAGGGUGUUUACAAGAAAUUCGUAGAUGCUAUUAAAGCAUAGGAAAAGUUUACCUGUACUCCUAUAAAAAGGUGUAUAUCCUACAACUAUCAGAUCCAAUGGCUGAUAUUAACCCACUAGCACAGUAGCUUCUAACCUCACACCUUUUUUACUUCUUGCUAAAGCUAACUUAAAUUAAACCCUACUACACUUCUCUCUCCCGCACAGCUCCUCUCGCUAUUUCUGUUUCUCGCUCUCUCUCGCGCCCUGCUCCCGCUCCCGCUCAAGCUCUCCUCUCUCUCUCGGUCGCUCGCUCGCUCGCCUCUCUCUCUCAGUCGCUGGCGCGCUCGCCUCUCUCUCUCUUUAGCUCGCUGGCACCAAAAAUUAGGGAAAAAGAGGGAAAAGGUGAGGGGCUAAAAUGUGGGAGUGAGGUUAACACUAUUUUUUUUUUUUUUUUAAACCAAGUUUAUAUCACCCGUUGGAUCAAAGAGUUGUAGGAUCUACAACUCAAUAUGGGGUGUAUGGGUAGCACGACUCUAAAGCAUAUAACAGAAACCCUAACAAGUCCCUCCAUGAACUUUACAAAGAGGUACCUUUAUUUUUCUUUAAGGGUUAAUUUUAUGCAGGUCCCUAUAAAUAUAGUGAAUUAUAAAAAUACAUUCCUAUAAAGUUCAAUUUCAUAUGUUGCCCUAUAAAAAUUCUAAUAUUUUCAAAUGUCUUUUUGGUUUGUUACCGUUUAAAACACUAUUUAUUCUAUAAGUGAAAUUACUUUUUUUGUAUCGUAAAUAUGUUCUUUCAAAAAUUUCAAUUAUUAAUUAAAGAGCAGUUAAAAGGUCAAUUCAUCUUAUUAACUAACUAGAGAGUUAAGUAUUUUACCUACGGUUACCUAAUUUUUUCUAACGGAUCCUAACAGCAGGAAUAUAUUUAAAAAUAUUAGUACUUUGUAGGGAUCUAUUUGUAAUUCCUAUAUUUGUAGGAACCUAUAUGAAACUAAUCCUUCCUUUAAAUACCAUUUAUUUGAAAAAACAAAAUCUAAAAUUAUUAUUUUCGAGUUUUAUUUUGUUUGAUGCAAUAAUCAACGAAUAUGUAACGAUUCGAUCCGCUAACAAUAAUAAUACGUUGAACCAAAACCAUCGGUCCAAAAUGCUUAACCCUAGUUAUUAUUACUAGCGUGUAGGUCUCAUAUACUCUAAUCAGAAUUAUUUUUCCACCUGAUGUAGGACUAUUGGGAUGUUAUAAACUCUCCUUAUUUAAACCCUAAUGUUCUCGUCAGAUCCAAACCUAAAUCACAGACAUACAGACCAGAAUUAUCAGGCGAUGUGAGAUUCUAGAGGUGGCUCCUACGGGUUCAAAAGAUGAAUUCCACUAAAUCCGUUGGUGUAGCACUCUGCCCCGCAUAGCACUUAACUCGCACACUUUCGGCUGGUAUUUGAUUUUGAUACCAAUUGUAACGACUCGACUUGCUAGCAAUAAUAACUCGUUAGGGCCAAACCACCUGCCCAAAAUACUUAAGCUCAGUUUAUAGAAAUAUUUAAUAUACGUUUAAUCCUUAAUUUUAAAAUCUACAAAUCAAAAUUUUCACACAAUCAAAAUAUUUUUUAAAAUUAUUUUGCAAAACCUAAUGAGCGUCGCGUGGGACUGUUGGGGCGUUACAGCAUAGAUCUUUCAUUUUAAAAAAAUUUGGAACCAAAGCAUACAAUAA
rnacentral:lncRNA from 1 species